GAUGGACGCUGGCGGCGUGCUUAACACAUGCAAGUCGAGCGGGGUGAUGGUGCUUGCACUAUCACUUAGCGGCGGACGGGUGAGUAAUGCUUAGGAAUCUGCCUAUUAGUGGGGGACAACAUCUCGAAAGGGAUGCUAAUACCGCAUACGUCCUACGGGAGAAAGCAGGGGAUCACUUGUGACCUUGCGCUAAUAGAUGAGCCUAAGUCGGAUUAGCUAGUUGGUGGGGUAAAGGCCUACCAAGGCGACGAUCUGUAGCGGGUCUGAGAGGAUGAUCCGCCACACUGGGACUGAGACACGGCCCAGACUCCUACGGGAGGCAGCAGUGGGGAAUAUUGGACAAUGGGGGGAACCCUGAUCCAGCCAUGCCGCGUGUGUGAAGAAGGCCUUAUGGUUGUAAAGCACUUUAAGCGAGGAGGAGGCUCUUUUGGUUAAUACCCAAGAUGAGUGGACGUUACUCGCAGAAUAAGCACCGGCUAACUCUGUGCCAGCCGCCGCCGUAA
rnacentral:rRNA from 1 species